rnacentral:tRNA from 1 species
GUGAGAAUAGCUCAGUUGGCCAGAGUAUUGGAUUGUGGAUCCAGAGGUCGAGGGUUCGAGCCCCUCUUCUCACCCCA